GAACUUUCCAGCUAGAGUUUGACCUAAGGAAGGAUUUCAAAACUUACCCCUGCAAUGCUUUAACAGCAUUAAAGUCAAAUGGAGGCUUUUCAUACAGUGAAAUCCACAGUAGCUCUCUGUGGUAUGUAGGGCUACCGGCCAGAUAUACCUGAAAGCAAGCGCUUGCCUUUCUCUCCCUCUGCCACAGAACGAUGAUACAGGGAUAAUAAAGGGAAAUACCAGGGAAUGUCAAGUCAAACAAAUCGUAGAUCUUCUCCGGCGGCUUCUUUGACCUUGUUCUGAGUGAACACCAUGUACAUCAAGGAAGAUAAUUACAACUUUUUCAAGUCUUCUAAAAUUGAACUCCCUAUGGUGGCGACCAGUAUCUUCAAACUCCUACCAGAGUAAAGCCUUAUCCAUUUGGAGUUCUUUCUGAUGCAUUACGUGAGAAAAACAAGCAAACAAAUGAACAGUUAUUUAUAUUGGAAUUGCACUAAAUUUAUACAUGAAACUGAAAAAAAUUGAUAUCUUUAUGAAGCUGCAUAAUCCUAUCCAAGGACAGACAUCUCAUUCCAUUUGUUUUGGAUACAUCUGGAAUUGACUUUUUUGCAUGGUGGAAGAAAUAACAGUUCUUCCUGGAUCAGCCCUCUCCCGUCUGUCAUCUCCAACAGAUACAAAGCCAGCUUUAAAAAGACCAAACCUACAAAAAUCAUUCAUGCUUUCUGCCUCCAUGUUUUUCUUUCCAACCUACUUCCUCCAGAAAAUGUAAAAGAGCAACCGAACCGUCAACUGGUACAAUGACUUCUACACGUCAGGCCUCGGCCACGCCACAGUCAUCAGAUUAUUCUAUCACAGGGUCUCUCAACCGUGGAAUAUGGUCUCCAAGGGAAACAAGCCAGAGAGGGCUCGGGCGCAUUGCUAUAAAGAGUAGGCAAAUGGAAAUCUUUCCCCAAAGGGCACACUGGGAUUGUUAGGCUAGGGCUGCUCAAUCCAUUAAAAGUUUAAACUUGAAAAAAAAAAAGAAAAAAAAAAACCUUUUGAAAAAAUACAGAAAGCAACCUGUUCUAGAUUUUAUGUAUAAAAGAGAGUUUAUUCAGGGAACCGAAAUGUUGACAGUGAAUCAACUGGGAGGAUAUUUUCAAUCAGAACCAUCUGACUGACAGCUUUCAUAUUAUUAAUGCACAUACUAGGAGACAUCAAAUUUGAAGGGCAGGCAUUGUGCUAAGUCAGACUUCUACCUUAAAAUGCAUUACAUUUUGUCUGUAAAUCAAGGUCAGUUAUUAAAUUAAGGUGCUCUCAUCCCUAAAUACUUUAUUCCAUCAUCGUGUGUAAUUAAUCACAAACCUCUUACUUGGGGUUCUUUAGGAAGUGAUGAGCAAAGCCCAUAAAAAUUAAGAGAAAAAAUAACAGAUAUCUUUUAAAAAACAGGGAAUAACUGCAAGGAAAUUUAAGUAAAAAUAUUUGCAUGAUUCUUUAAAUAGAUAAUAGAUACAAUAAUAAUAAUUUUGGAGCCCUACAAUCCCACAGCACAUUAAUCUUUUCAAAUCUGUUAUUUUUCAUCUAAACAGGUGGAGUACAUCAAUAUUCCAAUUUCACAGAUGCAUACACUGAGUCAAGGAAAAGUUAAGUAUUUAUUAAGUCAUCCAGCUUACUGGAAAUGGAACUGAGACUUGAAAGCAUAUCUUCUAAAUCCCACCUCUUCUCUAAAGAUAGCAUCAUCUCUUCUCCAAAGAUAGUGUCAGGACAUAGAAAGCAGAAGUUAAACUCUAUGCGCUAUUCUGCCUUCCAUAUUUAUUUUUCACAAGAAGUAAUUUAGAAAACACAUUGGAGAUAAUGCUUGUGAAACACACUUUGCUAAAUGCUAAAUUGUCCAAACACUUUGGAAAAAAGUGGCAGUUUCUUAAAAAAUUAACAAAGAAUUACCAUAUGACCCAGCAAUUCCACUCCUAGCCAUGUACCAAGGAGAACUGAAAAUAUAUGUCCAUGUAAAAACUCAGAGUUAAAUAUUUGUAGCUGCUUUAUUUAAAAUAGGCAAAAAGUGGAAACAACCCCCCAAAAAUGUACCUCAGUGAUGGAUGUAUAAAUAAAACAUGUUGUAUACAUAACAAUGAAAUAUUAUUUAGCCACAAAAAGAAAUGAAGUUUCUUUUUCUAUUACUCGGCCAUAAAAAGAAAUAAAGUGUGUUUUGUUUUGUUUUGUUUUGUUUUGUAGCAUGUACUGACCUGGAAAACCUCAUGCUAAGUGAAAGAAGGCAGCUACAAAGGACCACAUAUUUUUGAUACCAUUUAUAUAACAUGUCUAGAACAGGCAAAUCUAGAGAGAUGGAAAGUAGGUUAGUGGUUGGCUAGUACUAGAGUAAGCAAGCAGGGAUUGGAGGGUGCUGGCUAAGGAAUACAGGGUUUCUUUCUGUGGUGAUUUUCUUAAAAAGUUCUAAAAUUGAUUGUUGUGUUGUUUGCACAAUGCCGUGAAUAUCCUAAAAGCUAUUGAACGAUACGCUUUAAAUGGGUGAAUUGUAUGGUAGGUAAAUUAUGUCUCAAUAAAACUGUUAAAAAACACA